CCGCGCGGCACGCGGCGACCCCCGCAGAGCGCGGGCUGCUGCCGUUGCCGCGGGCCCGGGGCCUCCCGCUGUCCGGGACCUCCCGCCGUCCCGCACUGGAGGAUUCGCCGCGAAUCCGCCUACACGGGAGCGAGGAGGCGGCGUCCCGGGCCCUGUCGCUGCCCCUCACGCAGCGGGGGCCGCCAUCCGCCUCGCCGUUCCCUCGGCGGGCGCGGCGCCGUCCCUGAGGGGGAGCCGCCGCCGCCGCCGCGUCCCCUGCGCCGCCGCCACCGAGCGGGGGGACGUGCGGGGCCAGCAGGAUUCGUGGCUCCGCUCCCCGCCUCGCCGGAGGCGGCUCCGGGGGGAUAGCUGCGGGAACCGCCUGCCCUGGGUAGAGACCAGCCAGCGCGGAGGCAGCCGGGGAAGGUGCCCGCUGUCGCCUCCCAUCCUCGGCCCGCGGGUGAUUUACUGUCCUUGAGCCGUCAGUAACCGCGGUGACCUUCGUCCGCAGGCCGUUUCCCAGCAGGCAGCGGCCCCAUAAGAAGCAGCACCGGCUCCAGCACCAGUAUUAUUUUAACAGGCACAAAUCCUCUUUUCUCGCAGCGCAGGCCUUCAUCUGCCGUUUCCGCAGCUGUAAAUCUGCUUAUUUGGCAGCAGAACUAGGGCUCCGUUACCUGUGCCCAAGCUCGCGGGUUAUUUUGGCUCCCUACAGUGACACGUAGUUUUGGACACCAGACAGGAUGGUAGAAUUGCUCGGAGCCAGACUUUGCCGCCUACCUCUUUGAACGGGGAUGUGCAGCCUUAUUAAGUUAGGUUAGUGCACCGUUUUUUUCUGGCAUCUUCACUUUAAGCCCAGCCUCUUCCACCUUAGAGACAUUGUGACUUUGUGGAAGUAAAGUGUGUCCUUUCAGGGAGAAAUGCUCCAGAACAAAUCUGGUUAGUGACUAGGAACAAAAAGCACAAAAUGUGAUGUUCCCUCUCACUGUCAGCUUUGCAAAUACAGCGGAAAAGUCACAGCGUUUCAGCGUAGCUUCUUCACCCCGGCUGCAUCCUCACGGGAGAAGGAGGUACAGCUCUUUUGCAAAGGGCGCAGAGAGGCAGAGAGCGUACGAUGUGAUUGACUUGCCCGGUGUCGCAGGGGAGCUGGUGCUCGCGGUGGGACCUGAUGGCAGGCACCCCAGGUGCUGCAACGGGUGCAGCAACGCUAACCGCAGCAGCCGCUGGUUUAGGGGCUAAAAGCACAAAGGUACUGAAGCUCUGCAGAAAGGGGGAAACAAAAUAUCACCGGUGAUGUGAACAGAACAGGGUUUGGAUCCUCUUUCUUCUUAUAAACUUAUUAUAAACUGGUAUCAUUAAGAGAAAAGGUUUCUCUAAUUUAGCCUGAAGUUUGCUCUGUUAGAUCUAAGAGUGUGUUAGUGUGGUGAAUGAAGCUGCCCUUCUCUGCAAACUGUCGGAUGGUGCUUUACACUAAAGAAGAUUACAAAGCACUGGCAUCAUAAUUUCCACGUCACAGGCACAUCGACUGGCCGAGUGGCCCUGGGCAGCUAUACAGAGGCACCUGCAGAGUCCCUAUCCUGAUGCGAUGCUGAUGCCACCAAGAAGACGUGGACAGCACGGCACUGCCAGGAGCCAGCGGGACCCCACUGCCAGGGAGAACCUGGGCAGUACUCAGCCACUCCUGCCAAGUCCCUGGGACCAGAACUGGCCCAGCACCCAGAGAGACUGAUGACCCACUGUCCUGGUCCUUGAGUUGUGAGGCUGCCUGUGCCAUAGGCACCUUUGUGUGCCAUCUGCCCUAGGAAAAUUUCUACCGCGUGCAUGCAAUGGCUUGUGGAAUCAACCUGGGGAACUCCCAGCAGCAGAGGAAACCUGUCCUGUAUUUGCAGACAGUCCAGGCACGGGGAAGGACCUACAGACUACUCCUGUUCACACAUCAGGCCGGCAGUGAAAGCAGCCACAGAGGAAAGAGACUUCAUGUAAAUGGGAGCACCAGAGAGCAGAGCUAAGAGUUUUUAAAACCCAAA